GGCACGACUCUCGGCAAUGGAUAUCUCGGCUCUUGCAUCGAUGAAGAGCGCAGCGAAAUGCGAUACGUGGUGCGAAUUGCAGAAUCCCGCGAAC
rnacentral:rRNA from 6 species